AGUGAACGCUGGCGGUAGGCCUAACACAUGCAAGUCGAACGGCAGCACAGUAAGAGCUUGCUCUUACGGGUGGCGAGUGGCGGACGGGUGAGGAAUACAUCGGAAUCUACUUUUUCGUGGGGGAUAACGUAGGUAAACUUACGCUAAUACCGCAUACGACCUACGGGUGAAAGCAGUGGAUCUUCGGACCUUGCGCGAUUGAAUGAGCCGAUGUCGGAUUAGCUAGUUGGCGGGGUAAAGGCCCACCAAGGCGACGAUCCGUAGCUGGUCUGAGAGGAUGAUCAGCCACACUGGAACUGAGACACGGUCCAGACUCCUAAGGGAGGCAGCAGUGGGGAAUAUUGGACAAUGGGCGCAAGCCUGAUCCAGCCAUACCGCGUGGGUGAAGAAGGCCUUCGGGUUGUAAAGCCCUUUUGUUGGGAAAGAAAAGCAGCAGGUUAAUACCCCGCUGUUCUGACGGUACCCAAAGAAUAAGCACCGGCUAACUUCGUG
rnacentral:rRNA from 1 species